GGCUUAUGCUGUGCAUUGGUAAGUGGCACUGUUGUCCAUUUGAUCUAUUUGUGAUAUUGGCAGAACUGUGUUGCUCACCACACGGGCCUUAUAAAUGUUAAAGAUCAAUGCAUAACAAAAUAUGAAACUUAAACAGUGCUGAAGCAUCAAUGCUUGGUUAGUUGGUUAUAUAUGUAUAUAUGAGUAUGGAUCUUACUACCCUCAAAAAAGAGAGGGGGUGGGGGGCUGCAGGGUCAAUCUUCAGUGAGCAGUCCUAUAAUGUUGGCUAAACAUUUGGUUUUAUUUACCAUGUUAUAUUGCUAUCUGAC
rnacentral:misc_RNA from 1 species